UACGUAGGCACCAAGCGUUAUCCGGAUUUAUUGGGCGUAAAGAGCUCGUAGGCGGUUCGGUAAGUCGGGUGUGAAAACUCUGGGCUCAACCCAGAGAGGCCACUCGAUACUGCUGUGACUAGAGUGCGGUAGGGGAGCGGGGAAUUCAUGGUGUAGCGGUGAAAUGCGCAGAUAUCAUGAGGAACACCAGCGGCGAAGGCGCCGCUCUGGGCCGUAACUGACGCUGAGGAGCGAAAGCAUGGGUAGCAAACAGG
rnacentral:rRNA from 1 species